UAACAAUGAUUUCCCUAGUAACGGCGAGUGAAGAGGAAAGAGCUCAAAGUUGGAACCUGUUUGGCUUAGCUAAACCGGAUUGUAAACUGUAGACGUGUUUUCCAGGUACGCCAGAUAAAUAAGUCCUUUGGAACAGGGCAUCAUAGAGGGUGAGAAUCCCGUCUUUGGUCUGAGCAGUUGCCUAUUGUGAUACGCGUUCAAAGAGUCAGGUUGUUUGGGAAUGCAGCCUAAAUUGGGUGGUAAAUCUCACCUAAAGCUAAAUAUUUGCGAGAGACCGAUAGCGAACAAGUACCGUGAGGGAAAGAUGAAAAGAACUUUGAAAAGAGAGUUAAACAGUAUGUGAAAUUGUUAAAAGGGAACCGUUUGGAGCCAGACUGGCUUGACUGUAAUCAAUCUAGAUCCUUCUGGAUGCACUUGCAGUCUAUGCCUGCCAAUAACAAUUUGAUUUGAGGGAAAAAACUGAGAGGAAUGUGGCCCUUCGGGGUGUUAUAGCCUUUUGGAAAAUACCUUGGGUUGGAUUGAGGAUCGCAGUGAAUGCCUUUAGGCAAGGUUGCUGCGUGCUUUCGCUGAUAGAUGCUAGAAUUUCUGCUUCAGGUGGUGCUAGUGUUUAAAGGUGGAACUCGCGUGGUAUAUCUUUUAUUCGCUUAGGUUAUUG
rnacentral:rRNA from 1 species